AGAAGGAGGAGUCCCUCUUCCCGCCACUCUCCUGCCUGCCUGCCCCACACGCUGCGGCCCACCGCUGGCCACUUGGCAUUUUAUUUCAUUUAAUUUUAAAUUUAUGUUUAUUUUUUGAAUUGAUUUUAUUCUGUUUUAUUAAUUUAAUGUAAUGUUAUUUUAAAGAUGGGGUGUCGCUCUGUUGCCUAGGCUGGUCAUGAACUCCUGGGCUCAAGUGAUCCUCCUACCUCAGGCUCCCAAAGUGCUGGGAUUACAAGUGUGAGCCACCAUGCCUGGCCUAUUUAUUUUAGAAUUUAUUUUAUUGUUAUUUUUAACCUCACUGCCUGAUGCGCACUUUUGGAGAAUUUGGCACUUCUCCCUCCCUGUGAAGACCCAAGAUCGGCCCCCGUGUCCUGGCAUCACUGCUGUCACCUCCAGGCAUAGUUUGGCAACAGCCCCACCAGCACACACACGCACCCCCUGAUAUUUUCUGAUUCUCAGUGGGGCUCGAGGAGCCUCCUGCUCCCAGCUUUAUCUGACCUGGGGAGGAGUCGGGUGAAAGGAAAGGUACAGGGCACCUUGUAGAAGACCUGGCAGAGGAGGCUGGAGGAGGGAAACAUUUCCGGGCAGGAAAACACUAAUAGGGCCGUUCAGCGGCUCUCAGGCCUAGAGGGGUGUGAUCCCUACAAUUCAAGGCAGGCCCCAGACCCGCCUGGGCUUAAGGGCUGCAGGGGGAUCCUUUUCUCUCCCUCAUUGCAAUUUAGGCCAUUCUUCCCUGGAACACACGAGUCAGAGUCAGCCAGGUAAGAGGCAGAGAGAAAGCCAAUUCCUGUACCUGGAGGAGAUGUGGAUGCCAUGGAAACUUGGUGCCCUUGGAGGCUGCAUGAAGUUGAAAGUGGCACGGUGGCAAGCCCGGGAACUGGGAAGCGGGGAUCAAGGGAGAAGAAAAUUGAGAUUUUAUUAUGUAUCCUCUUAAGCAUUGUGACAAUUUUAUCCCACAUAUAGAAGAAUUUUUUUUAACAUUACACUAAAAAAGUUGCACAACUUUUCACUGAUUUCUUGGAAAUAGGAAGAUACAGAGAUUCUCCGAGUGACUCACGGUCAGCCUCUACUCAUGGGCAUGGGUGCUGAUUGUUUCAGCCACUGGUACCUCCUUGACUGCUUCCCAAAGCCAAUUAAUCACUAAGCUCUACUAGUUGUAGCUCUUAAACAUUCUUUCAAUACAUGGAUUUCUCUUUAUUACCCCCUAAUUCAGGAGUCAGUAAACUAUGGCUCUUAGGCCUGAUCUGUCUGCUGACUGGUUUGUAAAUAAAGUUUUAUUGGAACAUGGCUAUGUUCAUUCAUUUGUAUACCAUCCAAGGCUGAUUUCUUUUUUGAGAUGGGGUCUCUGUGUCACCCAGACUGGAAUGCAGUGGUGCGAUCUCGGCUCACUGUAGCCUCAAUCUCCCAGGUCCCAAGCGAUCCUCCUACUUCAGCUUCCUGAGUAGGUGGGACUACAGGCAUGCGCCACCAUGCCUGGCAAUUUUUGUUUGUUUGUUUUUUUGUAGAGAUGGUGUCUCAUCAUGUUUCCCAAGCUGGUCUCAAACUCCUGGGCUCAAGAGACCCACCUGCCACAGCCUCCCAAGGUGUUGGGAUUACAGGCGUGAGCCAUGGUGCCCAGCCCAUGGCUGAUUUCUUUAUUGUUUUCUUUUCUUUUUGAGACAGGGUCUCACUCUGUUGCCCAGGCUGGAGUGUAGUGGUACAACCACAGCUCACUGCAGCCUCGAACUCCUGGGCUCAAGCUGUCCUCCCACCUCAGCCUCCUGAGUAGCUGGGACUACAGGCAUGUACUACCACAUCUGGCUAGUUUUCAAAUUUUUUUGUAGAGAUGGGGCCUCGCUUUGUUGCCCAGGCUGGUCUCGAAUUCCUGGGCUCAAGUGAUUCUCCCACCACAGCCUCCCAAAUUGCUGGGAUUACAGGCCUACGCCACUGCUCC
rnacentral:lncRNA from 10 species